rnacentral:lncRNA from 1 species
AAAUCAAGCACACUAGGCUAAUGGGAGCCUACUCCAUUUAAGGUAACGUCGUCCGUUGUAGACAUAGUCCCCUUCCCUUGACAACAAAAUUUUGGACUAUUAAGCUUUUAAAUUCUCCAAACUUAAAAAUAAUAAAAAAACUAGAUUUUAAAAAAAAAAUUAAAAAAAAAAUUGCCGACUUGAUAAUCCAUAUAAUUAAAAAAUAAUAAUAAAAAAAAAC